GGAAAUGUGUAAAGAAAGUUUAACAAGAGGAUGUCAUAUUUGUGGAGAUUUUGGUCACAAAAGGAAAGCUUGCCCCACACACUAAAAUGAAUUCAAAUCAGAAAAAGAUUCCAUGAUGGCAAACAAAUCACUGAAUGUAAUAAGAUCAGGAAAAGAGAACAUUGAUGGACAAGAACUAUUGCUUGAUGUUUCAUACAUCUUAAAGAAACAUGACAGUGAAUCCUGUCUGUCUCCUUAAUUUAAAAUUUAAGGCUUGAUCAAGUCUUCUAAUGUCAACAUGCAAGAUAGAAAAGGAUCUGAAAGAUGGAGAUAAGGAUGUAUGGAAGUGAAAUAUAUUUAUCUUUUCAUCCAAAUUCAUUAAUUAAAAGUUUGGCAAAUCUUAUA